UCGAACGAGAAAGUGGUAGCAUACCAUGAGUAAAGUGGCGCACGGGUGAGUAACACGUGACUAACCUACCCUGGAGUGGGGGAUAACUGAGGGAAACCUUAGCUAAUACCGCAUAAUACCUACGGGUCAAAGGAGCAAUUCGCUUUGGGAGGGGGUCGCGGCCGAUUAGUUAGUUGGCGGGGUAAUGGCCCACCAAGACUGUGAUCGGUAUCCGGCCUGAGAGGGCGCACGGACACACUGGAACUGAAACACGGUCCAGACUCCUACGGGAGGCAGCAGUGGGGAAUUUUGCGCAAUGGGGGAAACCCUGACGCAGCAACGCCGCGUGGAGGAUGAAGUACUUCGGUACGUAAACUCCUUUCGAUCGGGACGAUAAUGACGGUACCGGAAGAAGAAGCCCCGGCUAACUUCGUGCCAGCAGCCGCGGUAAUACGAGGGGGGCAAGCGUUGUUCGGAAUUAUUGGGCGUAAAGGGUGCGUAGGCGGUUUGGUAAGUCUUUUGUGAAAUCUAUGGGCUCAACUCAUAGACUGCAAGGGAAACUGCCGGGCUUGAGUGUGGGAGAGGUGAGUGGAAUUUCCGGUGUAGCGGUGAAAUGCGUAGAUAUCGGAAGGAACACCUGUGGCGAAAGCGGCUCACUGGACCACAACUGACGCUGAUGCACGAAAGCUAGGGGAGCAAACAGGAUUAGAUACCCUGGUAGUCCUAGCCCUAAACGAUGACUGCUUGGUGUGACGGGU
rnacentral:rRNA from 1 species